UCUUGUAGUCUGUAGUUGAAAAUGACCCAGAGCAAUUAUCUAUGGAACAUCUUACACGUUUAUUCGGUUUGUCUUGUGUAGGUUGCUCAAGCUGAUGUUAAACUCUUUUUUGAAUCAGUCUGUGGAAAGGUUUAUCGCCUAAGGCUGCUUGGGGACUAUCAUCAUUCUACUCGUAUUGCCUUUGUUGAGUUUGUAAUGAAAUUAGGGAAGGUCUAUUGUGACAAGUGAGGUUUUCAGAUGACCAUG